rnacentral:rRNA from 1 species
AACGAACGCUGGCGGCAGGCUUAACACAUGCAAGUUGAGCGCCCCGCAAGGGGAGCGGCAGACGGGUGAGUAACGCGUGGGAAUCUACCCAUCUCUACGGAAUAACGCAUGGAAACGUGUGCUAAUACCGUAUACGUCCUUCGGGAGAAAGAUUUAUCGGAGAUGGAUGAGCCCGCGUUGGAUUAGCUAGUUGGUGGGGUAAAGGCCUACCAAGGCGACGAUCCAUAGCUGGUCUGAGAGGAUGAUCAGCCACACUGGGACUGAGACACGGCCCAGAAUCCUACGGGAGGCAGCAGUGGGGAAUAUUGGACAAUGGGCGCAAGCCUGAUCCAGCCAUGCCGCGUGAGUGAUGAAGGCCCUAGGGUUGUAAAGCUCUUUCACCAGUGAAGAUAAUGACGGUAACCGGAGAAGAAGCCCCGGCUAACUUCGUGCCAGCCGCCGCAGUAAGAC